GUGAGGAAUAUUGGGCAAUGGGCGAAAGCCUGAUCCAGCCAUGCCGCGUGAGUGAUGAAGGCCUUCGGGUUGUAAAGCUCUUUAGCCGAUGAUUAUAAUGACUGUAGUCGGAAAAUAAGCCCCGGCUAACUUCGUGCCAGCAGCCGCGGUAAUACGAAGGGGGCGAGCGUUAUUCGGAAUCACUGGGCGUAAAGCGUGCGUAGGCGGCUUUGCAAGUUUGGAGUGAAAGUCCAGGGCUCAACCCUGGAAUUGCUCUCAAAACUGCAAGGCUCGAAUUCGGGAGAGGAUAGCGGAAUUGUCAGUGUAGCAGUGAAAUGCGUAGAUAUUGACAGGAACACCAGUGGCGUAAGCGGCUAUCUGGACCGAUAUUGACGCUGAGGCACGAAAGCGUGGGGAUCAAACAGGAUUAGAUACCCGGGUAGUCC
rnacentral:rRNA from 1 species